rnacentral:rRNA from 1 species
GACGAACGCUGGCGGCAUGCCUAAUACAUGCAAGUCGAGCGAACAGAUGAAGUGCUUGCACUUCUGACGUUAGCGGCGAACGGGUGAGUAACACGUAAGGAAUCUACCUAUGAGCGGGGGAUAACAUUCGGAAACGGGUGCUAAUACCGCAUAAUAUCUUCUUCCGCAUGGAAGAAGAUUGAAAGACGGCUCUGCUGUCACUUAUAGAUGGACUUGCGGUGCAUUAGUUAGUUGGUGGGGUAACGGCCUACCAAGACGAUGAUGCAUAGCCGACCUGAGAGGGUGAUCGGCCACAUUGGGACUGAGACACGGCCCAAACUCCUACGGGAGGCAGCAGUAGGGAAUCUUCCGCAAUGGGCGAAAGCCUGACGGAGCAAUGCCGCGUGAGUGAAGAAGGCCUUCGGGUCGUAAAACUCUGUUAUAAGAGAAGAACAAAUUGUAGAGUAACUGCUACAGUCUUGACGGUAUCUUAUCAGAAAGCCACGGCUAACUACGUGCCAGCCGCCGCAGUAA